ACAAAACAAAAACAUUGCAUGAAAUAAUCUCAUAUAUUAUGCCCUUUUAAUCUAUAUAGAAUUGAUCAGCCAAUACUGCCCAAUAAUUGCUUUCAUUUAGGUAAAUAAAUACUACAAUAUACAUCCACUGAGAUUUUACACUACACAGAUCAGAGCUCUGAUAAAACUCAACUGACCAACAGUUUCCCACCAUCUUAAACUCUUUGCAUGACUAAUUUACUCCACUGGUCAUUCCAACAGAUCAGGCUGUUCCAUUGAAUUAUUUUGGGGAGAGAUAACAUUAUAAAUUUCAUAUGCAGAAUUUGUCUAGGACAUUGCAAUUUUUUUUUUGUUCAGAAAUUUGUAAUGAUUUUUAAAUUCUAUAUAUAUAUCUAGUUGUUACUUGAAUUUUUGUUACAUUCAAUGAAUGGAGGUUGAGAUGAUGAGUAAAUUAACCCUGUUUUACAUAAUGAUUGACCUGUCCAUGCAGUUAUACAGUUGUGAAUUUUGAAUUCUAAGAUAUCUGGGUCAGCAAAAAGAGUGCAAAAUAACAGAGGAUGUAUUUGAUAUUUUAACAAUUUUGGAGAUAUACUUUUGUUUAAGAUCUCAAAGUGUUUUAGUAUUGGUAUGAUAAAUAAGUGUGAAAACAUGGGACAAGGAGAUGAACAACAUAAUCAGACUGGGAGUUAAGUGCUGACUGUGAGAUGCAAGGUGUUUCAAUAAAGAUGUGCAGUUUUAAUCCUGAAAAGGUGAGCACAACCACAAGAAGUUCUUGGAAACACAGGCAGUGGACUUAAAACAGACAUCAAUUAAAGAAAUAGUAAUUUAAAUAAUCAGAAACAUUUGAAACAAAUUUAUGAUUGAAACACUCUCAGCAAAAAAAUUGCAAAAAAACAAAGUGUUGGAUUCUAAGAAAACCAGUACCAAAACCUGCAGGUAGAAAAAAACUGUUUGUGUUAUAGUGAAUGUAUGGUAUUAUAUUCUGUAUUUGGACUAAAGGAUUGUUUUAAAUUUUGUGAAAGAAAAUUUAAUGUGAUACAUUAUUGAUAAUUUUAUCCCAAAAAAAUGUGAUCAUGUUAAACUCAUAAAAAUUCCGCCUCCAUGAAUUCUGUCCCAGAAUUCCGCCCAGAAUUUUGUUUGACAAUUCCGUUCCAAAAUUCCAUUCCGAAAUUCCGCCUCGAGAUUCCGCUUCAAAAUUCCGCCCCAAGAUUCCGCUUCAAAAUUCCGCCCCUAGAUUCUGCUUCAAAAUUCCGCCCCAACUCAUUUGCAUAUUUCGUCCCAAUUCCGCCCAGAAUCUGUCCCGUUUCCGCCUGGAAUCUGGCCGGAAUCCGUGCCAAAAGCAAAUGGUUUAACACUUGUAUAUUUGGGGGAGAAUUUAAAUUUCUGGGCGGAAUCUGCCAUUGAAUUCCGCCUCAUUUCCGUGCAGAAAAUUUCGUACAGGUAAGAAUGAACUCGACUUUUUGUCGGCGGAAAAUUAGAUUUUCUUUAUGUCCUUGCACAAUAUAGGAAUCCUUAAUCAAUUGUGUGAAAAUUCAAUUCUCAACUUUUACGAUACGUUAACGGUACUCAUGCACUGCAAAUCCGAAAUCCCAAGCUGUGUGAUGGCAACAGCCCGGUUACUCCGUAAUGCUUACGUGGCGGACUUUAAAGAUGCAUUAUUUUAAUUUUCAGAAAAUAUCGUAUCUUCAUUUUAAAUUCUUUUGAACUAGUAACAAAUUGCGUAAAUUGUCCGUUUGUAACGUCGAUUUCAUGGUAUCAUGGUAUAAUCGUGACGAUUAUUAUAAAUCAACACCUAGACAUAGAUAACAGAGAUAAGCAACUUCCUAGCUUGUUAAGAUAUCACGCGUGCACUUGUAGCAAGUAAAACUUAUGAACCAGAUAUCAAAAAUCAGUAAAAUAAUACAUUUUCUGAAAGCUUAAGCAUUUGUCUAUGGCUGCAGG